AGAGUUUGAUCCUGGCUCAGGACGAACGCUGGCGGCGCACCUAAGACAUGCAAGUCGGACGAUCGGGAGACCGAUAGUGGCGGACGGGUGAGUAACACGUGGGCGACCUGCCCUGCAGUGGGGGAUAACAGGGGGAAACCUCUGCUAAGACCGCAUGCGAGCGUGGCCAUAGGGGGCCACGGGGAAAAGCCGAGAGGCUGCUGCAGGAGGGGCCCGCGGCGGAUUAGCUAGUUGGGGGGGUAGCGGCCCACCAAGGCGACGAUCCGUAGCUGGUCUGAGAGGACGGCCAGCCACACCGGGACUGAGAGACGGCCCGGACUCCUACGGGAGGCAACAGUUAGGGAACUUUCACACUGGGCGCAAGCCUGAUGGAGUGACGCCGCGUGCAGGAGGAAGGCCUUCGGGUCGUAAACUGCUUUUGUGGGGGACGAGGAUGACGGUACCCCACGAAGAAGCCCCGGCUAACUACGUGCCAGCAGCCGCGGUAAUACGUAGGGGGCGAGCGUUGUCCGGAAUUACUGGGCGUAAAGCGCGCGUAGGCGGCCCGGCGCAUCUAUAGUGAAAGCCCUCGGCUCAACCGAGGGAGGCCUAUGGAGAUGACCGGGCUGGAGGGCCGCAGAGGCAAGCGGAAGUCCCGAAGUAGUGGUGAAAUGCGUAGAGAUCGGGAGGAACACCCGAGGCGAAGGCGGCUUGCUGGGCGGCACCUGACGCUGAGGCGCGAAAGCUAGGGGAGCGAACGGAAUUAGAUACCCCCGUAGUCC
rnacentral:rRNA from 1 species